ACUCCGAUAGCUUAUCUCCUAGAGCAUAACGCUGAAGACGUUAGGGUGGCAGUAUUUCAUGCCUUGGGGUG
rnacentral:tRNA from 1 species